ensembl:lncRNA
UAUUUGCCUGUGGCCGGUAUCACCAUGCUGUCAGCAGUACCAACACUGGCCCAGGGGUUAUCUCCAAAUAGUCCAUCUCAAGGCCAAGCACUGGGUCACGUUAAAGUGAAGAGGUGGCAGGUAGCCUAAUGGUUAGAGCGUUGGGACCAUAACCAAAAAGUUGCUGGAUCGAAUCCCUGAGCUGACAAGGACAUAGGGUUUCUGCCCAACACCCAGACAUGGAUCCACCUGAUGUUCUCCAUUUCCUGUUCUCCAGGACCUAGGGUUUCUGCCCAACACCCAGACAUGGAUCCACCCGAUGUCCUCCAUUAUCAACCACCGUCCAAAUUUUCAUUACAUUAGCUACUGUUAUUGUCAUGUUGUCAUUAUCUGCUAAGAAAGAGCAAGACAACUAUCAUACUGGGCACAUAAUGUGUGAUCCACAGAUGAACUAAAAACACCUGCACUGUAAAGACUGACUGCCUGUUGAAAACCAAGUGAAAGUUUGAACCUCCCAUCCACACAGCACCCACCUCCUCUCUAUUCCACACACCAGAAUUCAGUAUCUCAGUCUAUGAUGUUAUGUGAGUGUACACAAGAAUCAAAGUAAAUUGACAUGUACCAACAACAACAACAAAAAUAUCAACGUUUAUACAUUUAAAUCUAAAAUAUUUUCUCCAUAUUUUCUCCAUAUUACCGAGU